ACUUGCUGCCCUCGCCCGGCCCGGGGCGCCGCUGCCAUGCGGCUGGCGCUGCUCUGGGCCCUGGGGCUCCUGGGCGCGGGCAGCCCUCUGCCUUCCUGGCCGCUCCCAAAUAUAGGUGGCACCGAGGAGCAGCAGGCAGAGUCAGAGAAGGCCCCGAGGGAGCCCUUGGAGCCCCAGGUCCUUCAGGACCUCAAAAAGGUGCUUCAGACCAGUCUGCCUGAGCCCCUGAGGAUCAAGUUGGAGCUGGACGGUGACAGUCAUAUCCUGGAGCUGCUACAGAAUAGAGAGUUGGUCCCAGGCCGUCCAACCCUGGUGUGGUACCAGCCCGAUGGCACUCGGGUGGUCAGUGAGGGACACACUCUGGAGAACUGCUGCUACCAGGGAAGAGUGCAGGGAUAUGCAGGCUCCUGGGUGUCCGUCUGCACCUGCUCUGGGCUCAGGUAUACUGGGCGGAUUUGAUGACAGUAGAGAAAGUAAGGAGACCCAGGCAUGGAGCUGAAAUGUUCUCUGACUUCCUUUCUUUUUUCUUAGAGGCUUGGUG
rnacentral:sRNA from 1 species